rnacentral:rRNA from 1 species
GGGCCGUACAAGGAAGCUAGAGAAGCUUAGUGCCUUCGGGAACUCUGAGACAGGUGCUGCAUGGCUGUCGUCAGCUCGUGUUGUGAAAUGUUGGGUUAAGUCCCGCAACGAGCGCAACCCUUAUCCUUUGUUGCCAGCACGUAAUGGCGGGAACUCAAAGGAGACUGCCGGUGAUAAACCGGAGGAAGGUGGGGAUGACGUCAAGUCAUCAUGGCCCUUACGAGUAGGGCUACACACGUGCUACAAUGGCAUAUACAAAGAGAAGCGAACUCGCGAGAGCAAGCGGACCUCAUAAAGUAUGUCGUAGUCCGGAUUGGAGUCUGCAACUCGACUCCAUGAAGUCGGAAUCGCUAGUAAUCGUAGAUCAGAAUGCUACGGUGAAUACGUUCCCGGGUCUUGGUACACACCGA